UUGGUGGGGAGGGGGGUGUUAUGUUUGCGAUCUCUGCCUUGGUACCUAAGGAGGAAGAGGAGGAGGAGGAGGGUGUGUUACUGAAUGGUGGCUAAAGCCUCCUCGGGACGGCGCUGAGGUGAAACAGGCUGAACCCGACUGAUGUGGCUCCUCUCUCGGUUGGACCCAGUGCCCUAAGCAGCCGAUGAGAGACCCCCGGCCGCCCGGCUCGCAGGAAGCCUUCAUAAAUUAUUAAAUACACUUGAUCGAGUUAACAAUGGACUUAACUACAAGCAGGUAUCUUUUUAGUGCUGAAAUGGACACACUAAUUGUGAACCAUGUGGUAAGGAGCUCCUUCUGAAAUGUGCAGUGGCAUAUUUACGGGGAUGUAGCAGGUUACUUUAAAGCUUCUUUUGCCUGUAACCAGGUGAACAAACCUUGCAAGCCACAAUGCCAGCUCGAGAUCCAGCCCAGCACGUAACAGCAGCACUGAAACAGCCCCCACCACUAGGCAAGGGACAGAAAGGAGAUGGUGACCUGCAACGGGAUGAGAGACCUCGCUUACCAGCAUUUGCUCACAGUUUUGCUUCUGGCAACUAACAUUUCCAUUUUUCUCAAAGCUUCUACAUCUGUGUCAUCAGACAAAGCCCCAUGAGUGGUGGCAGUGCAAACUGUAGCCUUCAUGUUCAAGUUUGAAGAGAAAAAGUUAUUUACAUGUCUAAGUCCCAGAACCAGCUGCUCAGAGGUCACUCUUUGUUGCCCACUGCUAUGAACCAUUAAGGCUUCCGAAAGCUCUGAAAGGAACGGGACAUAUUAUGGGGCAGAAAAGUCUUACUGUUUUAAAUUUGUUUAAAUUCUAUUUCAUUGUAUUAUAUGAUUUUUGUCCUACCAGAAGAACAUGGAAGAUGGGAUGUUUCUGUCAUUAUUUGCAUGAAUGACUAUUUAAAUUGACUGUCAGACCUUGCAGGACAAAUCUUUGGCCCUUCUUAAGAUUGUUUUAAACUGAAGGAGGUUAUCUUUUAAUUGAUUAGGACUUUCGACUAUUUUUAAAGGAAAAUUAUUGAUUGAUGCAAUGACUUUUACUGUUUUAUCACCCUUCUGCCUCAGUAUUUAUGUAUGUUUUUCGUUACAAAUUUAGGUAAAUGUUUAACUAUGUGUUUUAAUGUUUUCCUAUGUUUUCCUGUUUUUUUUUUUCCUUUCCUAUUCUAGAAAUGUUUUCCAGAAUCAAACCCUUGAAUUUAGUGACAAUUAGUACAAUUUCCAGACAUAUCAGUAAGAGUUUCUGUACUAAGUGUGGGAAUGUAGAUGUUAAGAGGAAGCACAAAUAAUGACUUUCUUUUUCCAUUCACGGAGGAAGCACUAAGACAUCAAGCUUAUUCAACAGAAAUGAAUAAAUGCAGCCUGGAAAGUUAUUAUUUUUCUAAACUGUGAGAGUAUCUCUGAAAUAAUAAAGAUAACAUAAAACAAAAACAUGGAAAAUUUGUCUAAUUUUCUUGCAAAAAAUAAUAGGAAACAAAAAAGGAUAUGUCACAGUGAAGAAAAUCUUCAGGCAGGGAAAGAAAAGAUUUGUUUGACAGUGUUAGGGUAGCUUGAAAGAAUGAUCCAGGGCCUGUUCUUUUCUGCUACCUCAGAAUUGUCUUGGACAUUUAAUUUUAGUUUCCCUGUCUACAAAUAGAAGAUGAUAAUGCCCUUUUUGGCAGUGUUGUGCAGUCUUUUGAAAUUUCACAAUGAAAGAGAAAAUUUUCAUGGGGUAUUUAAAAUUGCCUGUUGGACCUCAUGAUUUUAAAAUAAAAGUUUGGACUAUACAUCCUGGAGGAGAUGCCUCUCUAGGGCAGUGUAGGCAAUGUUUAAGCAGGGUGACUUUGGGUUUUGUUUUGGAUUUUUUGGGUUUUUUUUUUUCCCCUUUUAAACUGUUUAAUGGACUGUUUCUUGGUAUCCUCUCUGGAACAUUCAGGUCCCUAGAGACUGAUAGAAAUGAGGGUUGCUCUGAAUAAAAAAGCCUUCUUUAGGAGAUCCCAUCAUCAUCAGAAUUCUGUCAUCCUCACAAAAUACUUGAAAUUAGUAUGGCCCAUAUCUUGUAUUUCAGCUACUAAACUUUCAGCAACAUUUUGUCUGGCUAACAUCUUAAAUGCCAUGGCUUUCCCAUUAGAUAAGCAGGCAGAUUUCAUUACUAUUUCUUGACAGAACAAGAUUAAAAAAAAAAAAAAAAAAAAGAAAAAGAAAAGGCUUGUGUUGUGAAUCUCCUGUAGAGAAAUUUGGUGACAGAAACAGAAUUGUUGCUAUAUGGCUGAACAUAUUUUAUGAUGCAGAAAAGGAAAUUAGCCAGAAAUUAAUGGAAUCUGUAUAAAACCUAUAUAAAUAUAAAAUACAGCAAGCAAAUGGCCUCUCCACAGUUCAUUCUGGCAGUACCAAUCAUGUAUGUUCUGACAAUGGGCAAGGAGUGUGCUUAGGGUGGCGUGUCCCCUGAGCCCUGCCCCAUGUUGCCAGCCUUUAGCUCUGCUCUAGUGUGGCUGGUUGUCACCACAGAGCUAUGCAGUGGGACUGUGAAGGAGAUUUGUCCUCUGGCACAUCCUAUAACAUGAGUGUAGCUAUGUGCUCUUGCUGGCUUGAAAUGUGUUCUGGCCUGGAACAAGGGACCAAAUUUUUUAAGGCUGGAGACAUAAAAAGCCUCAUAUUUUGACUCCUGUCUGAAGCUUUCAGCACUUAGGAUAGGAAAGGCAAUUAACAAACCAGAUACAGAAUGAAGAUGUUUUAUCAUUAUAUUAAAAGUAAGAAUGCAACAUUUUCUCUUUAGGUUAUCAGUGAAGGGACAACAGUGUCUGUUACCUGCAGUUUUGUCUGUGGUAGGUGGCAGUUCACAGCUGAAGCACAGGUGUAUGAAAUGCUUGUCCUUUAUCACUGACGUGCUCACAAGUUGCCACCAAAUGUACCAGGCUCUACUCUAACAGAAAAAAACCAUAAGUACUCUAUGAUAAAAAUGGAUGUGCUGUAAUUGUUGGUGAAUUAAAGACUCAAAAAGAGAUUAACCUUUGAUAACAAUUUGUUAUCUGUCUUUAAUUAAACACAGAGUGAUUUAAAUAAAUAGGAACAUCUUUAGGGCUUAUGUUUUAUUUGUGAAAAUGACUAAUUUGUGUAUGUUGUUAUUUCAAGUUACUUUAACUGCUUCACUUGCAUAAGUUCAAGAAGCAGAAUUUCAUUCCAUCUGGUGAUUAUUUGCUUUCAUUAAUCAUACAGUCAGAAAACAUAGAAUUAAAAAAAUAAUUACUGAAAACCUGAUUGAACGUAAUAGAGAAAUUUAAGUGACUUAAUGUGUCCAUAUGGAACCUGAAAAUUUCAACACAUUUCAAAAAAUGAGUAGAGAAGAGAGUCAGUGAGCUACAAAUGCUGUAAUUUCCUCAAAAAGCCCAUCUUUCCUGGCACUUCAACUAGUUUAUAUAUCAAGAGCAGAUGUAUAUUAACUGCUUUUAAAGAUAUUUUAGUUUUUUUACAAUUUAAAUUAAUUUAAAAAUUAAUAUAUUAUGUGCGCUACUGAGAUUGAAGCUGUUUACUUUCACUGCACUGUGAAUCUCUAACCCAUGUUAAAUACACUAGGAGACCUAGUAUGUUAAUUUGAGGAUCAAAAAAUGUUUCCAAUUGGUUAUAUUAGUUCUGUCAGUAAAACAAUUUUAGACUUAAGGAGGUGUAAGAAUCACCUGAGGCAGAGGUAUGUUAAAUCUUUUACAGGUUUGGUACUUCCCAAAUCAUGAGUACUAUCAUUCUGAUACCCUUGAAAACCACUAAGCUGACUUGCAGACCAUUGCCCUCUAGCAGAAAAUUACUCAGAAGCCUCACUAGAGCAACAGCAAGCCUACAAGUGUGCCUCUCUACAGUGGGACAUGACCACCCUGUCUCCUGUCAGACAUGAAAGACAUAUAAUAAAAAAUAAUAACAAUAAUAAAACCAAUAACAAUAAUAAAUAUCUAAUACCUAAUAAAUAAAAAGUCUUAAUAAUUUGGCAUCUAUCUAAUAUACUGAAAUCCAGAAUUAUUAAUGCUGGCACAAGGUAUCAGAUAGCAUCACAAAAGAGUGAUUUUUGCUGUAUUGUUACAGAUGUUCCAGCUAUGCAAACAACAGGUUGCAGUGCUAUACUUUUAAAUCUCCACUGGUACGAGAAUGUGCACAUGUGCACAGCAGAUCACUGGUUAUUGCAGUAAAGGCAGUCUCUGCUUCUGCUGUAUAUUUUCCCAACUGAUAUGCUCUUUCUUUUAUUUUUUUUUUUUUUUGAGGUUGUCAUAUGGUAUAACACUUUUACUAGUUGACUCCUCCUACUUUUCUUCAAACCACAUCCUGAUUUUUGGCCUCAGAAACUAAACAUAUGCACAGCUUGCAGAACAACACAUGAUAUUGUUUCUGUAUAACAUCAUACCAGCUGGGAUAUAAAUUCUUACAGACAAUUUUAUGUGAAUGAAAAAUACCUACAUUAUGACAUUUUCCAUAGUUGUGCAAUACAUACCACAGUAGUGCAUAUGGUUUAGAGUCAGAGAUCCUCACUUACAAUUAUAACAAAAGUCUCAAGUCAGGCCACAGAUCUUCAGACAAUGUAAUUUUGAAUAAAUCAUCCUAAUUUAUUUCUAUUUUGUUUCUUGCUUCUUCUAUUCUGUUUUGGAUUUCUGAAAUCCUGCUUAACUAGUUUGUGGGCUUUAAAUUUUAUCCAUUUCAUUCAUUUGGUAUCAAGUCCAAUAAAAUUAUCAUUUAACUGAGGAAUAGGUAAUUUGUGAUGUAAUUUUAACUUGCAUCAUGAUUUGAAGAUAUAUAUGCCAAUAGGUAUGAUUCCUCAUUUUUGGGCAAUAUAUUCCACGUUUAUUUUCAUCAGUAAAAAACUAUUUUGUUUCUGUUUUUUCAGUGUUGUUUGUUUGUUUAUUUAUUUACUUAUUUAUUUAUUUGGGGUGAUAGUGGAAGUCAUUGGGUGGUUGUUACAUUUUCCUUCAGGAUAAAGAAUCUGCAUGUGAGGGUUUUCUCCAAUGAUCUAUAAGCUUUAAUCAAGUCACACUCAGCCCUCUUUUUUGAUGAUUAAAGACACUGAGUUUAUGCUUUCACAGCAAAUAAUUUUCUUUUGCUCUCAAAUUAAUUUCAAAUGCAGUUUUGUGAACUCUCUGUCUUUUUCCCCACCAUUCUCAUUAAAAUAUGGACAACAAACCUGUUGGGAAUUAUUCCAACAAUUGCAUCAGGAUUCAAGGAUUAUGUUAAUGGUGGGAGCUCAUGUUGGGUUGCUGGUCUACUAUGGCCCCUAAUCCUUGUAGAGUCAAGGCACUCCAUGUCACUGUACCCCAUUUGUGGGGGGUGAAAUCCAUUUGUAUUAUGUUUAACUAUGAAUUCAUCUCUUCUAAGAUGCUCAUUUCUUGCAAUGGAUCUAGCUGAUAAGGAGAUCUCUUCCUUGGUUUCAUAAUUAUGUACUCUCUGAGUAAUCUUUCUGUCAUCCUUAGAUCCUUAGCAUGGUAAUUUGUACUUGCACCUCUGGGUCACUGCUGGGAAUACUGAAUAGCACUGGGCCUAGUAAAGAUGCCUGCUAGAUUCAACUAGAAAAAAUUUGAUAUUAAUUUUCUUUUAAAUGUAUCUUUUGAUGAUCUUCUAGCCAGCUCUUGAUUGAAAUUGUGUACAUUGAUGCUAUGUAGCAGAUCUUUUAUUUUCGUAAUAAAAUUAUCAUACAGCAUUUACAAACUUC